UACGGAGGGAGCUAGCGUUGUUCGGAAUUACUGGGCGUAAAGCGUACGUAGGCGGCCUAUCAAGUCAGAGGUGAAAGCCCAGGGCUCAACCCUGGAAUUGCCUUUGAAACUAGUAGGCUUGAAGAUGGGAGAGGUGAGUGGAAUUCCGAGUGUAGAGGUGAAAUUCGUAGAUAUUCGGAAGAACACCAGUGGCGAAGGCGGCUCACUGGACCAUUCUUGACGCUGAGGUACGAAAGCGUGGGGAGCAAACAGG
rnacentral:rRNA from 1 species